GCCAGGCGUGGUGGUGCACGCCCGUAAUCCCAGCUACUCAGGAGGCUGAGGCAAGAGAAUCACUGGAGCCCAGGAGGCAGAGGUUGCAGUGAGCCAAGAUAGUGGCACUGCACUCCAGCCUGGACAACACAGUGAGAAUCUGUCUCAA
rnacentral:SRP_RNA from 2 species